AGUAUAAGCAUCUAUACUGUGAAACUGCGAAUGGCUCAUUAAAUCAGUUAUCGUUUAUUUGAUAGUACCUUACUACUUGGAUAACCGUGGUAAUUCUAGAGCUAAUACAUGCUAAAAACCCCGACUUCGGGAGGGGUGUAUUUAUUAGAUAAAAAACCAAUGCCCUUCGGGGCUCUUUGGUGAUUCAUGAUAACUUAACGAAUCGCAUGGCCUUGCGCCGGCGAUGGUUCAUUCAAAUUUCUGCCCUAUUAACUUUCGAUGGUAGGAUAGAGGCCUACCAUGGUAUCAAUGGGUAACGGGGAAUUAGGGUUCUAUUCCGGAGAGGGAGCCUGAGAAACGGCUACCACAUCCAAGGAAGGCAGCAGGCGCGCAAAUUACCCAAUCCCGACACGGGGAGGUAGUGACAAUAAAUACUGAUACAGGGCUCUUUUGGGUCUUGUAAUUGGAAUGAGUACAAUUUAAAUACCUUAACGAGGAACAAUUGGAGGGCAAGUCUGGUGCCAGCAGCCGCGGUAAUUCCAGCUCCAAUAGCGUAUAUUAAAGUUGUUGCAGUUAAAAAGCUCGUAGUUGAACCUUGGGCCUGGCUGGCCGGUCCGCCUCACCGCGUGUACUGGUCCGGCCGGGCCUUUCCUUCUGGGGAUCCGCAUGGCCUUCACUGGCUGUGUCGGGGAACCAGGACUUUUACUUUGAAAAAAUUAGAGUGUUCAAAGCAGGCCUUUGCUCGAAUACAUUAGCAUGGAAUAAUAGAAUAGGACGUGCGGUCCUAUUUUGUUGGUUUCUAGGACCGCCGUAAUGAUUAAUAGGGAUAGUCGGGGGCAUCAGUAUUCAAUUGUCAGAGGUGAAAUUCUUGGAUUUAUUGAAGACUAACUACUGCGAAAGCAUUUGCCAAGGAUGUUUUCAUUAAUCAGUGAACGAAAGUUAGGGGAUCGAAGACGAUCAGAUACCGUCGUAGUCUUAACCGUAAACUAUGCCGACUAGGGAUCGGGCGAUGUUAUUCUUUUGACUCGCUCGGCACCUUACGAGAAAUCAAGUCUUUGGGUUCUGGGGGGGAGUAUGGUUCGCAAGGCUGAAACUAGAUU
rnacentral:rRNA from 1 species